rnacentral:tRNA from 1 species
UCCUAGGUGGUGUAAUGGUUAACACACUUGGCUGCUAACCAAAAGGUUGGAGAUUUGAACUCACCUAGAGGUA